rnacentral:misc_RNA from 1 species
UCACCCCUCAAGCCCUGUGCUUGGUGUUGGACGGCCGGUCGAGCGAUCGACCCCUCCUAAAGACAAUGACGGCGGCCUGCGGUUCCCCCAGUACACUGAGCUUUUCACCGAGCACGUACCGGACCAGGGCACCCGGGACCCGGUCCUCUCCUUUAACUAGGAAACUUCUCAA